rnacentral:sRNA from 1 species
GCCAGGUGUGGUGUUGCAUACCUGUAAUCCCAGUAGCUCAGGAGGCUGAGGUGGGAGGAUCACAAUUUUAAAGUCAGCCUCAGCAACUUAGUGAGGCCCUAAGCAAUUUAGUGACAGUCUGUCUCAA